UACGCGGGUAGAACGGGGCAGAUUUUCCACAUUUCACCGGGAAAGCGGGGAGAAAAAUGAAAAAUAGUCGGCGUGGUCGAGUCACUUUCGUUUGGUGACACAGAUUGAGUAAAAUCGGGCACCUGCAAAUAACGAGGCGGAAUAAAAGGAGCGCCAGCAAGUAAACAAGGGUGGCCGCGGCGAGGGGUCGGCCGUCACGGUCCUCCGUCCUCCCCACGACCCACGCGAGUAAUAAUAAUCCACAAUCCAGCAUCUGUCGCGAAAGUGCUUGUUUUUGUUUGUGUGUCUGCUGUGCGCGCGGAAUGAAAGGCAAAACUGCGCUCGAUGGUUAAUUUGGAGACUUUUUCUUGGCGUUCGAUGACGUCUCUUUUCGCGUACACAAAAGAACGUCUCGCUUGCUAGCGUGUGUGUUGGUUAUUUGUGUGUUUUCGCGUUUAUAUGCAUAUCCAUCCGUCCGCCAGGCGAGUGCACGGCGAAUGAAAGGGCUGCUUUUCAUGCACACGCCGCUCCAAGCGCAAUUUUUGUUUUUUUGCACACGACAAAACACACGACCAGAUCAAUAUGGCAAACGGGAUUUUUGUGUACGUACGAAUGGGGUGCAUUACAUCCAUUUUUUUUGUACUCGCGCUCAUUCUUUUCUUGUCUUCCUUCUGCUCGCGGCCGAUAUUUUUUUUACUCGCGCUUCGGCUUUUUGCAGCACAGCUAAAAGCUUUUUACAUCGAUUAUUUCGCCCAGUGCUUCCUUUCGCAUUCGGGCGUACGCGGAUCCGCCGGAAUUUCUUUUCACUGAUUGCUAAUUAGUCGACUCGCUGCUACUUUUUUAUUUAGCCCCUUCGAUUCAACGCAAUACUUCAAACUGACGCAAGUGUGCGAGAGGGCGUUAUCAUUCAGCCAGUCCUGAUUUUUGUUGACUUCGCGGUGUGUUUUUUAGAUUAUGCUUCUUGCUUUAUUUGUUACAGUUUGAUAAGAAUUUUCGUCGAUAUUGAACACCACAUAUCUGCCACGACAAUUUCCUGGCUUUUUGUGGCAAAUAUAUCACAAAUUUUUCAGUGAUUGUUGCCUUUUGGAUUAGUGAUAAUUUAUAUAUUUUUAUUCAUUUUCGAAAGGAUUUAUCAAGUUUGAAAUGUAUUUCUGGAAAUUAAAAACCGAUUAAAUAUUGAGGAAAGUUGAGAAAAGUUUUUGAUUGCUUAGUAAAUUUAAUAUCAUUUGCCAUUUUAAUAUGAUAAAAAUGACACAAAAUACAAGACGAUCUUGCAGUGAAAACAUACCAAGCGAAUACGAAGUUCUUCUAAAUCAUGAGCGAGUCUGUGCAAAAAACUUGUUUAUGCCAAUGAGGGCAGAGGCACGCGAGACUGUCAUAAUAAUUGUCAGAAGAAUAAAAUUCAGCUUCCUCGUUUUGGCUACUGGUUGCAGCCCUACUUCAUGAGCUAGAAGGAAACAUGAGAUUAGAAUAGAGGCUAUUUUAUCUUCGCUGACAAUCUAAAUGUUAUGUUUCGAAAUAUCAUUCUAAAAUCACA